rnacentral:rRNA from 1 species
GUUGAUCCUGCCAGUAUUAUAUGCUUCUGUCAAAGAUUAAGCCAUGCAUGUCUAAGCAUAAAGUCCUAGUAAGAUGAAGCUGCGAACGGCUCAUUACAACAGUUAUAAUCUUUUUGAUGAAAUACGUACAAGGAUAUCUUUGAGAAUGUCAAAGCUAAUACUUGACGGGUAACGCCUUCAGUCGAGUGUAUUCCUCCGGGAGUAUAAUCUACUGAGGAGGGGAGGACCCCAAGGUCCUUUCAAUAUAUUACCACUUCUUUGUGAAUAAGGGUGGAUUAUAUGCCAAGAGAAUUGUAGAAAUCGAGAGAUUUUCACAAGUCAUCAUUAAGAAUAUCUGACCUAUCAACUGGUUGUUGGUAAGGUAGUGGCUUACCAAGGUGAUAACGGGUAACGAGGAAUAAGGGUUCGACAUCGGAGAGGGAGCUUUAGAAAUGGCUACCACUUCUAAGGAAGGCAGCAGGCGCGAAAAUUACCCAAUCUUAACAACUGAAGGAGGUAGUGACGACAAUUAACGCUUUCCCUCGCAUUUUGUGAGGAUUGCCGGAAUGAUCACGACAUAAACCAUCGUGAGAAAGCGAUUGGAGGGCAAGUCUGGUGCCAGCAGCCGCGGUAAUUCCAGCUCCAAUAGUG